ACGCGAGGACGACCUCGCGGCUCGAUCGAGUCAUUAACCUUGGGGACGACCCCG
rnacentral:ncRNA from 1 species